rnacentral:rRNA from 1 species
UGAGGAAUAUUGGUCAAUGGGCGAGAGCCUGAACCAGCCAAGUCGCGUGAGGGAAGACGGUCCUAUGGAUUGUAAACCUCUUUUGCCGGGGAGCAAAGAGCGGCACGUGUGCCGCGCCGAGAGUACCCGGAAGAAAAAGAAUCGGCUAACUCCGUGCC